GUGCCAGCCGCCGCGGUAAUACGUAGGGGGCAAGCGUUGUCCGGAAUCAUUGGGCGUAAAGCGCGUGUAGGCGGCUGGCUAAGUCCGCUCUGAAAGCCCGGGGCUCAACCCCGGGAGGCGGGUGGAUACUGGUCAGCUCGAGUCCGGAAGAGGAGUGUGGAAUUCCUGGUGUAGCGGUGAAAUGCGCAGAUAUCAGGAGGAACACCAAUGGCGAAGGCAGCACUCUGGGACGGUACUGACGCUGAGACGCGAAAGCGUGGGGAGCAAACAGGAUUAGAAACCCCCGUAGUCC
rnacentral:rRNA from 1 species